UUACAAUUGUGUACAGAGCGCUUUCUGUGGUUUUCCAUUGUUUCAGUUUUAUAAAUUGUGUUUUCACCCUGAUUAUCACCUGGACUUUUCCCCCUUGUCGUUGGAGCCGCCAACCACCGCUGCCGUCUUCCGUGGGGCUGAGAAUCGCUUCUUCGCUCGCGGAGGGAGGAACGUUUGGGGCGGUAAGAACGCUGGGCGUUUGGUUGAAUUGGACAGAAUGCCGUUUUGGCGUGGAAAUCGCCGAGCCACGACCCGGGGCCCGUUGUAGAAGAUCUCCAGACGUUCGUCGCAACGUAAUCGUCGUUUUCUUAGUUUUGUUUUCAGUAUCAGUAAAUCGUUGUCGCAGGGCUUUUCAGGGAAUUCAUUAGUUAGGAUGCAGUUAAAAUUCAUAAAUUUUAUAUCUAAGGUUUUUGGAUGGUUUUUCCCCAGUCGUCACUUCUUUUUUUAAAUUUUCAUGUUCGGACAAUUUCAAAUCAAAAUUCAAUCGUUAAGAGAGAGAGAGAGAGGGCGGGGGCGAGCGUGCAGAUGGCCCACUCGAGAUUAUCAAUGUUUAGGCUAGACGAUUUUAAUGGGC